rnacentral:rRNA from 1 species
AUGGCGGCGCCCCGCGAGCUGGACCUCUCCGACGAGGUCGAGGGCGAGAUGGACGGCACCACCGACUUCGUCUUCCGCCUCGUCGGCGACCCCAUCCCCGUCCUACCCCCCGCCUCUGCCCCGCUCCCCCUCUUCGACCUCCAGUCCCCUCCCGCGCGCCCGCUCGCCGUCUCCGACCGCCACGCCGCCGUCUUCCUCGCUCACCCCAACGGGUUUAUCGCCGCGAGGACGAAGGCGUUGAUCGAGGCCAGCAAGGAGGCCAGGGAGAAGGGCAAGGCGAGCACCCGCUGCGCCCAAGACUGCUGCGUCACCGACGUGCCCCUCCCCGGCGUCACUCUCCUAGCGCUCUCCCGCGACCAGUCUGUGCUAGCUGCCUGCACGGGCAGUGAGAUCCAGUUCUUCUCGGCUACUUCCUUGCUCACUGAUAAGGAUAUCAAGCCGUCAUCAUCAUGUAGCAUGGGACGAUCUGGCACUGUCAAAGAUUUCAAAUGGCUAGAUAAUGCCUAUAUUGUACUCUCGAAUGGUGGAUUGCUAUCUCAUGGGAGUUUGGGGCAAGGCCUGAAGGAUAUAAUGGAAAAUGUUGAUGCUGUUGACUGUUCCAAGGACGGGAACCAUAUUGCUGUGGCAAGAAAGAAUUCACUCAGGAUAUUAUCGCCAGAUUUGAAGGAAACAUGUUGCAUGGCCCUCUUGUUUCAGUCGUGGCCUGAUAGUGAUUCAGAGGGCACUGACAUCAAAGUGGAUUCCAUCGGGUGGGUUCGCGAUGAUAGCAUUGUUGUCGGUUGUGUUCGAUUGAAUGAAGAAAGCAAUGAAGAGGGUUAUCUGGUCCAAGUUAUAAGAAGUGGAGGAGAUACAUUUUUUGAGAGCUCAAGCAAGCCAGUUGUUUUUAGCUAUGAUGUUUUCGGAGGUAUCAUGGAUGAUAUUUUACCAUCUGGAGUUGGACCAAAUCUGCUAUUGGGCUAUCUGCAUCGCUGGGAUCUCCUGGUUGUUACAAAUAAAAAGAGCACCGAUGACCACAUUUCUCUUUUGAAAUGGCCGUCGAAAACUGAUGAGGAAAGAACUGUGGUAUACCUCGAAAUGGUGGAGGAUAAAUAUAGUCCUAGGAUUGAUCUGCAAGAAAAUGGUGAUGACAAUGUUAUAUUGGGGUUUGGUGUGGAGAAUGUUUCGUUAUUUCAGAAGAUCACAGUACUGGUUGGACCUGAACAGAAGGAGGUUGCCCCUCAACAUCUUCUACUUUAUUUGACUAGUGAAGGGAAACUAAUUAUUUACUAUCUUGCCAGGAUUUCUGACCCGUCCGAUUUACCUCAAACAAGUCUGUCUACCAUUGAGGAUAGUAAUGUGAAUAAACAAAUUUCUCCUGCAACUGCGUCUAAUAAGGAUCUGACUCCAAGUGUUACAAGCUCAAUGGCCAAGAGUCUGCUCGCAGGACCUGGGGCAUCUAGCGCACCAGCAGAGAAAGAUCAGCAUGGAUCAGGAGACGCAAAGAGCAGUUUCCCAAUUUCAAAUAGCAAGGACAUAGCUGCUGGCAGUUCAUUGCUUAUCUCUUCUGAUAAGAAGCCAUUGGAUACCAAGCAAGUGAACACGGCUUCCCCAUUUGCACCUCCCUCUAGCUCAGCACCAACAGGCAACAUGAAACCUGGAAUGCCUUUCAGCUUUUCAACAGGUAAUAAUGUUGGUCUAAAUUCAACAGGAAGCAAGGGAUCUAGUGAACCAGUUUCUUCAUGGCAACCGAACACCAGCGGCAGUUUUGUAAGCAGCCAACUUGGUAAAGGUGGCUUCGAUUCAGCCAAACCACUGGGAGCAUUUGGGGGGUCUCAGAACGCUACAAAAAGUGGUGGUAGCCUUAGUUUUAAAUCAUCAGUGUUCAGCUCAGAUGGAUCUGUUCCAGUUAAGACUGCAGAAAGGGAUGGGGCUAGUAGUUUUGGAAGCUACCCAGCGCAAACCAGCUACACUACUGAGAGGAAAGUUCUUGGUUCCUCAGCUGGCUUAAGUUCUGUGCCAUCAUUGUCGAUUUCUCCAAAUAAACCAGUUGGAGCUUCAUCUGCUGGGUUUGGGGCAGGAAAUCUUGAAGUACCUCCUGUCUCCCGUGGAUCACCUCUGCCACAACAAAUCAUUGGCAAAUCACCCAACAACAGGAACCAUAUGUCAGCGGAUUCAAAAAAUUUCAAGUUGGGCACAAUGUUUGAUACCCAACAAGAUCUAUCUAAGAAGAUUUACAGUAUAAAUGAUAUGACCGAGGAGUUAGAUACCCUCCUGUCAUACAUAGAAAAAGAUGGUGGUUUCAGAGAUGCUUGCAUGACCUUGCAGCAGCGUCCUCUUUCAGUUCUUGAGGGUGAUCUGCAAAACCUCUUGGAACUAUUGCAGGUCUUCAAGAACAAAGUAGAGGAACAAUGUUCAAAAGCUGAAGAUCUUCGAAAUAAGAUGUUCCAAGUUUCUGCUAGGCAAGCUUAUAUGAAGGGAAUUCUCACUCAGUCUUCAGAUACUCAGUACUGGGAUAUAUGGAACCGCCAGAAUUUGAGUCCAGAAUUUGAGGCAAAGAGGCAAAAUAUUCUCAAAGCUAAUCAGAAUUUGACAAAUCAGCUGGUAGAGCUGGAGAGGCACUUCAAUAAUCUGGAGAUGAACAAAUUUGGUGAAACUGGAAGAGUUGCUUCAAGUCGUAGAGCUGUUUAUUCCAACAAGUCACGGUCUAGUCAGACACAGUUAUCCAGCGUGUACAAUGCACUGAAUUCGCAAUUAGCAGCAGCAGAGCAACUAUCUGAAUGCCUUUCAAAGCAGAUAUCUGCACUAAAUAUAAGUUCUCCUUCUAAGAAGCGAGGGGCAGUGACCAAAGAGUUGUUUGAAUCAAUUGGUCUAGCCCAUAUGGCAGAUGCAGCCAAAUUUUCAGGCGGUACCCCUUCCAAGUUAAUUCAAAGGUUUCCAUCCACGAAAGAGCACACAAAGGGCAUGCUGGGACCUUCCAAGAGUGCUGAACCUGAGACUGCACGAAGGAGGAGAGAGUCACUGGAUAUGAGUUUGGCUAGUUUGGAGCCUCAGAAAACUACUGUAAAGAGAAUAGCGCAGCAACAACGCCUCAAGAUUAGCAGUGAUCUCCCAUUCAGGUCAAACAAGAAAAUGUUUGAUUCUCAAAUGGCAGCUAUCUCCCAGGAAACUUUUGGUGGUAGCCCCAGUUCAUCAAUAGUCGAAUCAUAUACUAGCAGGGUUCGUUCUCCAAUUGAAGUGCUGGAUGAGAAAACAAAACCGUCAGGACCCCAGGGCAACUCUUUGUUCAAAUGGGUAAAGGAACCAGCUGGGUCAUCUCAGGGUUCAGAGCAAAAGCAUCUUGACUUAUCAGGGCGAAUGAAAAGUGCUGAUCAGUCUUCAAAGUUGACACCAUCUUCACCGGCAUCAUUCAGUUACACACAGAAGGAUGCGAGGGAUAGGACCAGCACACCUAAUGUUGCAUCUUUAGGCGCAAUGCAUACCGUGCCUAAGUCAAAUACUCUGACCUUCAAAACCAAUAUAGCUCCUAAAACUAACGCCAAUACACGGCCAGAUAUGUCACCUUCAGUGUCGAGCCCGAUGCCUGUCAAAACUUUGUCUGGGGAUUCUGGAGCUGGAUUUACCUUGACUACGAAGAAUAGAUACAGUGACCAGGACGUACCAUCUUUUGGAAGCAUGAAAGGGUUUGGCAUUUCUCCACAGAAUACAGGUGUUAAUAAACCAUCUUUGUCUUCUGAACCUUCUAAGCCUGUUGUGUUGCAUGGGAAGACUUUCCAAGUUAGUGGAGUCAGUGAUACUAUGCAGAACUCAGCCAAAGCUUCACCCCAGGUGGCAUUUUCACCAACAUCACAGUCAUCUUCAUUUCCUAUAAUGUCAGGUGCUUCCUCUUCAGCUGCAUCGCUCUUAUCAACCAUGCAAGCAUCAGCUGCAAAGACUUCUGAUGUUUCAUCUCCAACGGUUUCUUCCACACUCCCACCACAGGAGUCAGCACCAAAAACUCACCCAACAGUACCUGAAGGUACCGUGUCUUGUUCCCUGCCAUCUAUACCAACACCUGUUAAGGAGUCAUUACCUGACUUGAAUAAAAAUGCAUCUAAACCUGAAGUGGUGACACCAGAGGUAACUGGAACCACAGUCUCUGUAAGUGCUACUUUAACAGGCGUACCUACAAGUGAAAGCAAAACUGCAUUGCUUCCGGUGACCAAUAGCAGCUUAUCUUCUAAUCCUCCAUCCAUUCCUGUGCCUAAAGUUGUGCCAGGGGCAACAGAAUCUGCUGUUGUCACUUCCACAAGAAAAGAUGCAGGACCAAGCAAUCUCUCAUCAGAUGAAGAUGAAAUGGAUGAGGAGCGUCCUUCUGCAAGUGCAGAUCUAAACUUGGGAGCCCUUAGUGGGUUUGGUCUUGGGCCCGCACCUUCUUCAAGUCCUAAAAAAUCCAAUCCUUUUGGGAGCGCAUUUGGUACGUCUGAGAGUAAAAGUUCAAGCUCACCGUUUACUUUGACCACCAGCCCAGGACAGCUUUUCCGUCCAGCAUCACUGAGUAUUCCUUCAUCUCAGCCAGCACAGCCAUCUCAAUCAAGUAGCUCAAGUACAUUUUCUAGUGCAUUCUCAAGUGGGCUUGGUGGAUUUGGACAGUCUGCACAGGUUGGAUCAGGGCAGCAGUCGGGAUUUGGGCAGUCUGCACAAAUUGGAGCUGGUCAGCAGGCAGGUUUUGGGCAGCCAGCACAAAUUCAGUCAGGAUUUGGCCAGCCGGCACAAGUUGGAGCUGCGCAACAGUCAGGAUUUGGGCAGCCUGCACAAAUUGGGGGUGGGCAGCAGUCAGGAUUCGGGCAGCCUGCACAGCUUGGUGCUCAGCAGGCGCUUGGAUCUGUUCUGGGUUCUUUUGGACAAUCACGCCAGCUAGGAGGAGGCUUUGGUGGAUUUGCUAGUUCCUCUUCUGGGGCUUUUGCUUCUGCACCUUCCAGUAAUUCUGGAUUUGCUGGUGCUGCAGCAGGUGGGGGUUUCUCUGCAGCUGCUACUUCUGUUGGUGGAGGGUUUGCUGCUGCUGCUACCGGUGGAGGGUUUGCUUCUCUUGCCUCCAAAAGCGGUGGUGGUUUUGCUGCCGCAGCUUCAUCUUCUGGUGGUUUUGGAGGUGCGGCCCAGGGUGGUGGUUUUGGAGGUGCGGCCCAGGGUGGUGGUUUUGGAGGUGCGGCCCAGGGAGGUGGCUUCGGAGGUGGUUUUGGAGCUUUUGGCAGUAAUAACCAAGGGUCUACUGGUUUCUCAUCAUUUGGUGGGAGUGGCGCUGCAGGGCCUGGAAGACCCCCGGCGGAUUUUUUGACGCAGAUGAGAAAAUAG